rnacentral:rRNA from 1 species
UGGCGGACGGGUGAGUAACGCGUGGGUAACCUACCCUGUACAGGGGGAUAACAGUCAGAAAUGACUGCUAAUACCGCAUAAGACCACAGCACCGCAUGGUGCAGGGGUAAAAACUACCGGUGGUACAGGAUGGACCCGCGUCUGAUUAGCUGGUUGGUGAGGUAACGGCUCACCAAGGCGACGAUCGGUAGCCGGACUGAGAGGUUGAACGGCCACAUUGGGACUGAGACACGGCCCAG